UUUUUGAUAAAUAAUUUAAAGUNUAAUCUGCCCACUGAUAUAAUAUUAAAGGGCUGCAGUAUUUUGACUGUACAAAGGUAGCAUAAUCAUUAGUCUUUUAAUUGAAGACUUGUAUGAAAGAUUUGAUGAAAUAUAAACUGUCUCUAAUUUAAUUAUAGAAUUUAAUUUUUUAGUUAAAAAGCUAAAAUAUAUUUAAAAGACGAGAAGACCCUAUAGAGUUUUAUAAUUAACAAUUUAAAUUAUUUAUAUAAAAUUUUAAUAUUAUAAAUUAUUAAUUAUUGAAUUGGGGUGAUAAAAAAAUUUAUAAAACUUUUUUUAAAAUAAAACAUAGAUAAGUGAUUAAAAGAUCCAUUAAUAAUGAUUAAAAGAAAAAAUUACCUUAGGGAUAACAGCGUAAUAUUUUUUUUUAGUACAAAUAAAAAAAAAAGUUUGCGACCUCGAUGUUGGAUUAAGAUAAAAUUUAGAUGCAAAAUUUAAA
rnacentral:rRNA from 1 species